AGUGAACGCUGGCGGCGUGCUUAACACAUGCAAGUCGAACGAGAACGGAUUAUAGCUUGCUAUAAUUGUCAGCUAAGUGGCGCACGGGUGAGUAAUGUAUAGGUAAUAUGCCUCUUACUAAGGGAUAACAAUUGGAAACGAUUGCUAAUACCUUAUAUUCCCUUUUAUCAAAAGAUAAAAAGGGAAAGAUUUAUUGGUAAGAGAUUAGCCUGUAUUGUAUCAGUUAGUUGGUGGGGUAAUGGCCUACCAAGACGAUGACGCAUAACUGGUUUGAGAGGAUGAUCAGUCACACUGGAACUGAGACACGGUCCAGACUCCUACGGGAGGCAGCUGUGGGGAAUAUUGCACAAUGGACGAAAGUCUGAUGCAGCAACGCCGCGUGGAGGAUGACACAUUUCGGUGCGUAAACUCCUUUUAUAUAAGAAGAUAAUGACGGUAUUAUAUGAAUAAGCACCGGCUAACUCCGUGCCAGCCGCCGCCGUAA
rnacentral:rRNA from 1 species